GGUGGCCAGUGGGCGGACGCCCGGAGCUCACCGAGACGGCCCCGCUCCCAAGUUAACGGGCCUUCCAGCGCCACGAGAUGAGAAGAUAAGUGCAAGGGGUCGGGUCGGGCGGGUGCACGGAGGACGCGGGCCUCUCCCCAAGCUGGGGCUCUGCCCCCGAGGCAGCCAGCGGCUAGGUGGAGUUGGGCAGGGCGAGGACCCAGGAUGCCUAGGAUGGGGCGAUGACCACUACCAACCCAGGCGAAUCAGCUCCAACUGGAGGCAGAAGGAUGGCUAAAAUGACCUCUGAGAAGAUGUCGAUUAAAAGCACAAAAAUUUCAACCUAGAACCUUAAGACCUUCGAUAAAGCGACGCAGUCCAAUCAGAUCCUUUCCCCGGAAUCGCGGGGAAACUCACCUCCAGACGAGAAAAUCAGCUAAGAGGCCAAGAUCUCAUGGUGGGCUUUGAACUGGCUUUGAACUCCGGCUAUUCUGACCACACGACCUGUAGAUUUUCCUUCCACAUGCCCUGCUUCUCCACCGGCCAGACGUCGGACCAACUGAAGGGGUGGCUCUUUCUUGCUCUAUCGAAAACAUCCCAGAUGGAGCGAAGGAGGAGGCCCCAGUUCAAGUUCUGGGUCAGCCCUUCAUCAACAGAGUCUGGGUUUCUUGCAGGAAAAUGAGAGGCUCGUGUCCAAGUCCCUGAUGAGGAAGCCACUCCUUGAGCAAUUGUCAAGCGCAUCUGUCGCAUCACAAGUAAGACGUCCUAAAGAAAAUGACUUUAGUCGAACUGCCCAGGAACCAGACCUGGCAGGUGGCUGAGAGACCAUCCCUCUCACCCUGCAGAUCACCCACCAGACAGCCCCUGGGUAGGGAGCUGCUCCGUCAAGGAGCCCCCAAAGUUAAGAGAAGCAAGCAAUGUCAGCGCCACGGCAAGUGCCGGAAGAACUGCCUUCUCCCUCUCGAAGUGGGGCUGAGCCACAUCCGAGGAUCCUAGAGGACACCCAAGGUGGCACAAGACCACAGCAUGGCAGAAUCCCGGGGGCAGGAGGGAGCAGCACAGAGUGAUCUGCAUCUCAAGAAACCACUAAACAUCCCACCUGCAGAAGCACAGAACUCCCCAGGGAGUUUAAAUGAGCCUUGGUUUUUUCCUUCCCUCCCUCCCUCCCUUUUUUCUUUUUAUGGCCUUACAUGCUGCAUAUGGAAGUUACCCUGCUAGGGGUUAAAUCAGAGCUGCAGCUGCUGGCCUAUACACAGCCAUUGGCAACUGUGGAUCCGAGCUGCACCUGCAACAUACAUGGCAACUUGCGGCAAUGUAAAAUCCUUAACCCACUGAGCGGGGCCAGGGAUCAAACCUGCAUCCUCAGAGACAAUGUCAGGUCCCUUAACCGCUGAGCCACAGGAACUCCGAGUCUUGGUUUUCUCAUUAAUUAACCCAGUGACUCCCCGCGGGGAGACGGAUUCCAGCCACUCGAUAAGGUGCGAAGAACACUAGACAGCAGGUCAUUUUUCAGGGUAAUCCUGAUCCGUCUUCACAGGGAGUGAUUGUCAAUGGGGCGAAAGCCAUCUGUACCCACAGACUGUCACUAGGAGACUUGAGACUCGCCUCUUGUCUAAAAGGCAGUGUCUAGAAGAAGCUACAGGCUGGAAAAUGCAGCCUGGUCUGUGCCCCCAGCCCUGAGGGACACUGGGGAAGGCGGAGUCUGCGUUAGAAGACUGGGCGGGAGGCACGAGGAAAGAUGACGCACCAAUGGGGUUUCUGCCUAAGACACCCUCUUGCCUCAGGUCUCUGCAUGUCUGCCCACGUGUCACCUCCUUAGAAAAGCCUGCUCUGGCCACCCUAUUAAGGGAAAGCAACUGACUGCAGGGUGAAAGCCAUGGGGUCCUCGGCUGGGAGCGGCUCGUUCACUGCAAGGUGCUGAGAAUCAGAGCUUGAGUCUCAGAAGUGUCCCUGCUCAGAAGCUCUCAACGUCCCCCCAGAAGACUGUCCCAAGGAUUAGACUCGAAGGGAACAGAGUCCUCAUGCGAGCCCACCUGGUCCCAAGCCAGACAGGUCCUCCACCUAAGCUCUGCUCAUUAUACAUCUAACAUGGGCACGCUGUCCCUCUGAUUCCUAUCUCGCUUUAAAAUCAGGGACCUCUGGUCCGUAUGUUUCUUUAUUUUGCUGGCUUUCCCCGUAGGAUGUAACCACUAGACUCCUUGGCUUUGCUCACCUCUAUAUCUCCAUCCCCUAGAAGGGUACCCAGCACGUCGUAGGUAUUGAUGGAGCAGACUGAUAAUCAUUGUGAGGCUCUGUUUCGUGCUCGGCAUGUGAUGAAUGUGCCACCUGAUCUUCUCCAUACCUUCUGAGGAUGAUGUGAUUUAACCCAUUUUGCAGAUGAGGAAACUGGCAUUCAGAGACCCGGUGACCCUCCCACAGCCACACGGAUAAUGGGCAGCAGAGCCAGCCCCUGAAGAGCAGGGAGGGGUUGAAUUCCACGGUUUUACCACUUCAAACCACACCGGAAGUUUGACACUGUCAGCAGCAGUCAGUUUUUUUGUUUGUUUGUGAUUGUUUUUUGCUUGUUAGGGCCACACCCGCAGCAUAUGGAAGUUCCCAGGCUAGGGGUCUAAUCGGAGCUACAGCUGCCAACCUACACCACAGCCACAGCAACAUCAGAUCUGAGCCGCAUCUGUGACCUUCACCACAAUUCAUGGCAAGGCCAGAUACUUACCCUACGGAGUGAGGCCAGGGAGCGAACCCACAACCUCAUGGUUCCUAGUCGGGUUCGUUUCCGAGCAGCAGUCAUUUUAACUGGAAAGAGCAACUCUUUAUUUUAUUUGACACACUCACCUUCAACCUAUCUGUGUUCAAAAGCUAGAUCCGAGUCCAGAAGAAAAAGAGGAUCCAGGAGUACCCGCUGUGGUGCAACAGGUUAAAGGAUCUGGCACUGGGUUGCAGCUGUGGCUUGGAAUCAACCCCUGCCCCAGGAACUUCCACAUGCCAUGAGAAUGGUGAAAAAAAAAAUUAAAAUAAAUAAAUAAAUAAAUAAAUAAUCAACAGAAUAUCUAAAUACACACUCAUAACAAGUAAGGAGACUGAGCUUGUAAUAACAAUAAUAAUAAUAACCUUCACACAAAGAAAAGCUUAGGACCAGAUGGCCCUGCAGAUGAAUGCUGC
rnacentral:lncRNA from 1 species